AGUGAACGCUGGCGGCGUGCUUAACACAUGCAAGUCGAACGGGAACGGGUCUUAGCUUGCUAAGAUUGUCAGCUAAGUGGCGCACGGGUGAGUAAUAUAUAGUUAACCUGCCCUAGAGAGAGGGAUAACGUUUGGAAACGGACGCUAACACCUCAUAUGCCUUUAAGUCUUAAGACUGCAAGGGAAACAUUUAUGGCUCUAGGAUGAGACUAUACGGUAUCAGUUAGUUGGUGGGGUAAAGGCCUACCAAGGCGACGAUCUCUAGCUGGUCUGAGAGGAUGAUCAGCCACACUGGGACUGAGACACGGCCCUU
rnacentral:rRNA from 1 species